GUUGGGAGGAUUUGAGAUGGCGAAUGAAAAGACUGGGCCCUUAGCAUGUGCCGGAUGGAGGAGGGUUGGGUCAUGGCCUUCUGCGGGCCAGUUCCUGGAGCCCAGGAACAAAGGGGCACGGGGGCCUCCUGGCAUCACAUCUUGGCCUCCUGUGACUGGGGCCACCCUAGGAUAUUAGCAGACUCAAGCAGAAGCUCGGAGAAACACUUAACUGUUUUCACCUGCACGCUGGUGCCACCGCUGUGCGUCUGUGCAGUGCCUGAGCUGCUGGCCUGAUGGAGGACGGGAGAUGCACGGAGAAGCCCAGUCACCGCGUCCAUCCCAGCAGAAGCACAAGCCCUCGGGAUGGCGAGGCUCCUCCGCCACCGGCUUCCUGUGCGGCUCCGGCGCAGGUCAGCGGGCUCCAGUGAUGCAGGAGGCAUGAACAGAAUCGGCUGCUCAGGCCGAAUUCCUCACGGGGGGCCGAGACAGAGGCGGGUUCAACACAGGGCUAAGGGCCCAUCAACAGCGAAUGCACAGGGUGCUCGGUGCCCACCUCUCUGCCUGCAAGGGCUGCUCUGCAGUUCCGACCGCCUCACCUUCUGCCGCGGGGCGCGCUCCGCGCCGUGGCCCGCAGGGCUGUGCCCUGUCACGAACGGGAGGACCUUUGAAAGGUGGGCGUGCCUGGCAUCUUCCAGCUCCCAAACAGCGGAGGAGCUGGACCUGAACCCCAAACCCCUCCACCGGGAUGGCGAGCACGCAACAGACGUGGGCCGAGGGUCCCGUGCGGGUGCCAGGAGCCCUGGAAGAGGCAGCCUGAACCUGAGUCUGCGCCCACUUGGGAAGGAAGCUCGGAUUCGUUCAUUUUAUUUUGAUCCGUCCUCCUCCCCACGUGCUGACCUCAUCUCCAGAGGAAGCAGAUGGUCCCAUUCGCACCCACCGAGACCAGGGCUUUCCCAAGAAGCUCGGCGCCCCCAGCUGCGCACAGCCACCUGCAGGAGGGGCUUUCUCCCAGUUCUAAAGCUUCUGCAGUGGCCUUCCUUCGCACUGCUAUUAUUUUCCUUAAAUGUCUGCAGAAAACAAAAAGCUGCUUGGAAACAGCAGUUGCUUGGAAACAGCAGUUCCUUGGAACAAGGGGCAGCGAUGGGUGCCGGACGCCACCCUCCGCGGUUUUCCUUGAAGGGCUCUGCCUCUGGGCGUUACAUUUUCAGACUGUGUCACCCUUGCCUGUCACGUAAGGCAGGUUCCGAGAUGCCAGGACGCGGCCUGGAGGGCUGUGUACCUGUGCCCACCGGGGGGAGAGUCAACUCCACGGGCACAGCCGGUGCUUAA
rnacentral:lncRNA from 1 species